UGGCUAUCCUGGAAAUUUCUGUGUAGAC
rnacentral:piRNA from 1 species